UUAGGAAUCUUGGACAAUGGGCGCAAGCCUGAUCCAGCCAUGCCGCGUGAGUGAUGAAGGCCCUAGGGUUGUAAAGCUCUUUCAGCGGGGAAGAUAAUGACGGUACCCGCAGAAGAAGCCCCGGCUAACUUCGUGCCAGCAGCCGCGGUAAUACGAGGGGGGCUAGCGUUGCUCGGAAUCACUGGGCGUAAAGCGCACGUAGGCGGCUUUCUAAGUCAGGGGUGAAAUCCCGGAGCUCAACUCCGGAACUGCCUUUGAUACUGGAAAGCUUGAGUCCGGGAGAGGUGAGUGGAACUGCGAGUGUAGAGGUGAAAUUCGUAGAUAUUCGCAAGAACACCAGUGGCGAAGGCGGCUCACUGGCCCGGUACUGACGCUGAGGUGCGAAAGCGUGGGGAGCAAA
rnacentral:rRNA from 1 species